rnacentral:rRNA from 1 species
UAGGGAAUCUUCGGCAAUGGACGAAAGUCUGACCGAGCAACGCCGCGUGAGUGAAGAAGGUUUUCGGAUCGUAAAACUCUGUUGUUAGAGAAGAACAAGGACGUUAGUAACUGAACGUCCCCUGACGGUAUCUAACCAGAAAGCCACGGCUAACUACGUGCCAGCAGCCGCGGUAAUACGUAGGUGGCAAGCGUUGUCCGGAUUUAUUGGGCGUAAAGCGAGCGCAGGCGGUUUCUUAAGUCUGAUGUGAAAGCCCCCGGCUCAACCGGGGAGGGUCAUUGGAGACUGGGAGACUUGAGUGCAGAAGAGGCGAGUGGAAUUCCAUGUGUAGCGGUGAAAUGCGUAGAUAUAUGGAGGAACACCAGUGGCGAAGGCGGCUCUCUGGUCUGUAACUGACGCUGGGGCUCGAAAGCGUGGGGAGCAAACAGG